ensembl:lncRNA
AGGCACUACAAAGUCAGCCCAUUCCCUUAGCUCGGGUCCUUAUCCAGCAUACCCCGGAAGCUACAGAGAUAGAGGAACAGAACAAACAAAUAAACAAACAAAGCGCUCAUCCACAACAUAGAUAAGAAGAAGUGAUGAAUGUGUGCGUGCGUUAAAGAACCAAAUGCUGCCCGCGGCCAGUGACGGACUUCUACGUCACAAAAACCAACUGACAUUUACUCCUGAGGUGCUGACUUGCUGCACCCUCGACAACUACUGUGAUUAUUAUUUGACCAUGCUGGUCAUUUAUGAACAUUUGAACAUCUUGGCCAUGUUCUGUUAUAAUCUCCACCCGGCACAGCCAGAAGAGGACUGGCUACCCCUCAUAGCCUGGUUCCUCUCUAGGUUUCUUCCUAGGUUUUGGCCUUUCUAGGGAGUUUUUCCUAGCCACCGUGCUUCUACACCUGCAUUGCUUGCUGUUUGGGGUUUUAGGCUGGGUUUCUGUACAGCACUUUGAGAUAUCAGCUGAUGUACGAAGGGCUAUAUAAAUACAUUUGAUUUGAUACUAUUUAUUUUAUUAUUUCUACAGUCACAACCAUGUUACAUUUUUUUAUUUGCUUUAUGAAUUGCUUCCCUGUCUGUUUAACAAUGGUAGUCCUCGUUCAGUGAUUCUUAUGUCUGAUUUUUGAGGAACUUAUGCGUAACAUGUCAACAUUUUUGUUAUCUUACUUGUAGUCAAAAGACAUUUGUUUCAAUCUUGUGUGUCAAAAACAAUCACAAUUAAAGCCUAGUGUGUGUGUGUGUGUGUGUGUGUGUGUGUGUGUACAAAUACUCUUUGUAAAUGUUUGUCUGGCUUGAGGGUUGAAUAAUGCUUCUCAAUGCAUUUUUUUUGUAAAGAAAAGACUGCUAUGUCGGUCACUGGGAUGUGCUGGCAAGAUACUGUGGCCUUAAAUUAAUUAAACCAUAUACAUUGCAGUUGUGUCCUGCCGAAACGCGACGAGGUGGUGGAAUAAUAUCGAAUGUGGAAUAAUAAAAUGGAACACAAGAAAUAAACCAUUUGUAAAUAUCAUUUGACCAGU